rnacentral:rRNA from 1 species
UACGUAGGGGGCAAGCGUUGUCCGGAUUUAUUGGCGUAAAGAGCGUGUAGGCGGUCAGGUAGGUCCGUUGUGAAAACUCGAGGCUCAACCUCGAGACGCCGAUGGAAACCAUCUGACUAGAGUCCGGAAGAGGAGAGUGGAAUUCCUGGUGUAGCGGUGGAAUGCGCAGAUAUCAGGAGGAACACCGAUAGCGAAGGCAGCUCGCUGGGACGGUACUGACGCUGAGGUGCGAAAGCGUGGGGAGCGAACAGG